GCCGGUUUAGCUCAGCUGGUAGAGCAACGGUUUUGUAAACCGAAGGUCGGGGGUUCGAGUCCCUCAACCGGCACCA
rnacentral:tRNA from 1 species